rnacentral:lncRNA from 1 species
AAGGCAGGGAGAGAGGGAGGAGGUCAGGGAGCCCUGGGGUGGAGGGGGAACGCAGAGCAUCCCCUGUGCGGACGUCCCAUUCCGACCUCAGAGGGACAAUCCCAUGGGAUGCGGGGGAGAAACCACUCUCUUCUUCGGGAUUGCAUUGGGAACAACGGGUCGGGAAAUGCGUGGGUGCCCGCAGAGAGCCGGGCCUGCGUGGGGAGCACAAACCGGUCCCAGUUCCGCACUGGGAAGCAGCGGUGUGGAUGCGGAGGAAGAGUGGGGCACGGCAGGCCGAGGUCAGCAGGAUGUGGGGGGAUGGGGAGACACCCGUGUGGCACUGCUGGGGAUAAGAGGGACGUGAGUAUGGCACCAUGGGGAGAGGGGAGACAUCACUAUGGCACCAUGGGGAGAGGGGAGA